UGGGGAAUAUUGGACAAUGGGCGAAAGCCUGAUCCAGCCAUGCCGCGUGUGUGAAGAAGGUCUUCGGAUUGUAAAGCACUUUAAGUUGGGAGGAAGGGCAUUAACCUAAUACGUUAGUGUUUUGACGUUACCGACAGAAUAAGCACCGGCUAACUCUGUGCCAGCAGCCGCGGUAAUACAGAGGGUGCAAGCGUUAAUCGGAAUUACUGGGCGUAAAGCGCGCGUAGGUGGUUUGUUAAGUUGGAUGUGAAAUCCCCGGGCUCAACCUGGGAACUGCAUUCAAAACUGACUGACUAGAGUAUGGUAGAGGGUGGUGGAAUUUCCUGUGUAGCGGUGAAAUGCGUAGAUAUAGGAAGGAACACCAGUGGCGAAGGCGACCACCUGGACUAAUACUGACACUGAGGUGCGA
rnacentral:rRNA from 1 species